rnacentral:rRNA from 1 species
AAUCAACGCUGGCGGCGUGCCUCAGACAUGCAAGUCGAACGCGAAAGUUCCCUUCGGGGGAUGAGUAGAGUGGCGCACGGGUGAGUAACACGUAGGUAAUCUACCUUCGGAUGGGGAACAACAACCGGAAACGGUUGCUAAUACCGCAUAAUGCAGCGGCACCUAAUGGUNACAGUUAGUUAAAGGCGGGGGAUACGAAAGACCUCGCGUCUGAAGGAGGAGCCUGCGGCGGAUUAGCAGUUGGUAGGGUAACGGCCUACCAAGGCUACGAUCCGUAGCCGGCCUGAGAGGGGCGGGUCGGCCACACUGACACUGACAUACGGGUCAGACUCCGUAC